UACGAAGGGUGCAAGCGUUACUCGGAAUUACUGGGCGUAAAGCGUGCGUAGGUGGUUUGUUAAGUCUGUUGUGAAAGCCCCGGGCUCAACCUGGGAAUGGCAAUGGAUACUGGCAAGCUAGAGUGCGGUAGAGGGUAGUGGAAUUCCCGGUGUAGCGGUGAAAUGCGUAGAUAUCUGGAGGAACACCGGUGGCGAAGGCGGCAUCCUGGACCGAUACUGACGCUGAUGAGCGAAAGCCAGGGGAGCAAACGGG
rnacentral:rRNA from 1 species